rnacentral:rRNA from 1 species
UGGUGUGAUCAUACCAGCACUAAUGCACCAGAUCCCAUCAGAACACCAUAGUUAAGCGUGCUUGGGCGAGAGUAGUACUAGGGUGACCUCCUAGGAAGUCCUUGUACCAGAUCCC